CUUGUACUCCCUCCGUCCGAAAAUACUUGUCAUUGAAAUGGAUGUAUCUAGAUGUAUUUUAGUUCUAGACACAUCCAUUUUGAUGACAAAUAAUUCCGGAUGGAGGAAGUACUUG
rnacentral:pre_miRNA from 1 species